ACAAUUGACGCUGCCAGAAAAUGACUAAAGAUUUUACUGAAAAACAACUUUUAAGUAAAAAAAAAUACACGUUAUAUACACAACUGAGAGGGGCGUUUCCGCUGAAGAUGAAUUUCCCAGCCGGAUGACGGCGGUCUCCCGGAUGUCACUCACAACAAUCGGCUUAAGGCAAAGAGAAGCUGCAGGUACUUGCUAUUUACACGGUGAGGGUUCGAGUCCAGUGCCUGUGUGUGAAAUACAUCCUGUGUCAGAUGGAGAUAGUCUAUCUGAAGUAUGCUGGGAAUCCCGCAGGAGCCUUGCGGGGACACGCCGAGGACGGCAAAGACGACACCGAGAAAGCGCAGGUGGAGGAGAGCAAGGCCGGAGAUAAGGGAGCCGCUUGUUUGAUUGCGGUAGCGGUGAGUAGGAGCGUCUGGCUCAACUUUUGGGUGGAAAACACGCCGCACAAAAGCUUUUUAUUGACGCUCGGGAUUGGACUGUUUGUCCCCGUGUCCAUGGCGACGCUCCGGGUCACAUGACACGGUUCCAUGACGCCAGAUACUGUCCAAGAAUGCCAUGAAAGUCUUCCAAACUGGCAAAACAAAACAGUCUGAGAGCGCAGCCUGCGUGGUUUUCUACUUUUAAGUCAAAUAAACAGAUGAUAAAGGACACAAAUGGAAUAUAAAAACACUUCCUGUCCUGGAAAACUCCAAAAAUAUCACAUAAAAAAUGAGUCAUGUGCUUUCACAGGCACAUUGAAAAAUAUUUUAAAGACAUUUGACCCUGCACUCUUUCACUGAUUUCAUCUUUUUUAUGACAGAUUAUCAAACAAACAAAUAUUUCUAAUUAGCCACGUAUACAUGGACCUGAAUAUUACAAUUGCAUUGCUUUAUUUGCUCAAAGGGAAAGAAUUGAACCUUUGUAUACACCUCAUUCCCCCAAAAAAUGCCAAUCCAAAUGAACAUAUAAUGGUAUUCCCGGGGGUGGAAUAUUCCUUUCCCGAAUCCAAUUGAGGUAUCUUGUACCCGCUCAAAUGGAAAGUUGUUCUUCGUGGUGUUUUUCUUCUUCUGUUGUUUAUUGGCGGUUGGCAAGCAGCUUUCUAUUUUUUUUUGUUCUUAUUUUCAAGCAAUAUCCCUUUCAUUGUUAUUACUAAUUUUCUUAUUUAUGUUUAUAUUUUUCUGUAGAAUUGCACUUUUAUGUUCCUGUAAUUCUGUUUAUACUGUUUUGAUGUUUGCAAUAAAAAAAAAAAAAUCAAUGUUUGU